UACGUAGGGUGCAAGCGUUGUCCGGAAUUAUUGGGCGUAAAGAGCUCGUAGGCGGUUUGUCGCGUCUGCUGUGAAAACCCGAGGCUCAACCUCGGGCCUGCAGUGGGUACGGGCGGACUAGAGUGCGGUAGGGGAGAUUGGAAUUCCUGGUGUAGCGGUGGAAUGCGCAGAUAUCAGGAGGAACACCGAUGGCGAAGGCAGAUCUCUGGGCCGUAACUGACGCUGAGGAGCGAAAGCGUGGGGAGCGAACAGG
rnacentral:rRNA from 1 species